ACCCUGUGAUUACUGGAUAACGUGCAGUAACAGUUCUCUGGUGGACGGCUAUGGGCCAGAGCGUUACCAUGAUGCAUACAUGGGGGCUGUUCCUCUUCAGCAGCCCUGAUAGCCUGGUCACUGGUACAUGA
rnacentral:snoRNA from 1 species